rnacentral:lncRNA from 1 species
UUGAUGCAAAGAUUCAAAGUUCAAUCACACCUGAAUUUAUCACACGAUUCUCAUAUCGAGUCUUUAUUACAUGAUAAUAAAUUCGGCCGAAGGCCAACUCAUGAGAAAUAAACUAAAUAAAGCUGCGGAAGCAUAGACGAAUAGCGAGUCCAUCCGACUCCAUGGGGCAAUCGCCAAGCGUGGAUCGUAGCCUCACUCCUGGUCGGAGAACUCCUCUGCAACAUAAGACGUUGCAACCGUGUAGGUCAGCAUUUUUUAAUAUGCCGACAAGUCAAGAAGAGAGAACAACAAUAAAAUUUCUAAUACUAUAUGCAAUUUGGCUGUGGGGCUCUAAGUUUCAUUGUUUUGCGAAAAAGCCAGUUUUUUCCUACAACAAAGGACUUCUUUGCAAGUACUAUAAAAUGUUGGUAGUUAUUGAGAUGGUUCCGCCAACCAAUGUCUCAUUCCCAAUUAUUAAAUAACCUCCUCAAUUAAUUUAUUAAGUUCGGUGUUGAGAUAUCCGAAAUACUCCAAGUUCUAGAGGCUCAAAUUGUCUGUAACCGGGGACACGGCUAAUCAAUUAGGUCUUCACUCUGCAGAGGUUUGUGCACUUUACCUGCAAGAAUCAUUCCCUCCUUUAAGUCUUCGCACUGCCUGGUGUUUGAAGACAGGACAAACGAAACAGGGUCUUCCGAAGAGUUCCUCUGGGCCACUGCCGAUGCCCAUCCAAUCCUAUCGUUCUUCUACAUCUUGUAGCACCGUCCGGCCAGAGUCACGCCUAGGGUCGACCAAGCCAGAGCCCAUAAUGGCUUGCGGCUGCACAGGUAAGCUUCCGGUCAAUGGGGUAUCCAUCCGUCUCUUCGUGGCUGGGUGAAGCUUUCCGCAAGAUGUCAUGGCGCUUCUCCAUGAAUCCCGGCCAUCUGCUGGUUUCUCCAGGGUGUCCGUCAACUGUCCUCCACCCAGCAGUGAAUUUUGAAGUCCAUCUUUAGCUUCAAGUCAUGGGGUUGUCAUCAUCUUAACUCUCGCAUCUCCCUUAUGAAUCACUCAACCAACCCCGUCUACUAAAGCAUAGCAAUCAACUACAUCGUCCCGGACAUCGGUAACAAGGGAGAGGGUUCAUCCUACCUCAUGAUACUACUCAAGAACAUAACUUAACAAAUUUUUCCUACUGCAUGCAUGGUGGGGAGGUAUAAUUCUAAUGCAAUAAAAUCAUAGGUAUUGUAAAAACAUGAUCAAAUGACUUGCAUGGCUGAUGGUCUUCGAAAGCUAGCGACUCGUAAUAGCAGGCUUCGCACUCCGGGAAUUCUACCGAGUCAAACAAUAGCACAAAUAAGUAUAGCACAAUAUAACAUAACAACAAGUUGAAGUAAAACACCCAAGCACUCAAACCAAAACCAAGGAAAAACUCAAAGAAAGCAAAUCAAGGUUUUCACCACAUCAAGCAACAACUAAAAAUAGUUUUAUACUACUAAAACUUUUCUUAAUAGAACCUAAACAUGGGUUUUGCUAACUAACAGAAAGGAAAACAGCAUACAAACUAGGUGCAAAAAGAAUCACAUCACAAGCUAUUAUAGAACUCCUAUUAUGCCCAAAACAUUUCUAGCAAAGAAAUUAAUAUAAAACUUUUUACUUUGCUGUAAAUAAAAGUUCAUCCUCUGUAACUACAAAAACUAAUCUAAAAUAAAAUAUAACAUAGUAAAAAUAAAAUUAUUUACUAACUAGAACAGUAGGAAAACAAUAGCUAGCUAAAUAAACUAGAAAAACUUGAUUUCGACUAAAACUAAUUCUUUUUAAUUAAAUCUAAAAUACCCGAACAAGUUCCUACUGUUAGGCAAGGUCAAAACUAAGCAGUAGCAAAAAGAAUCACUUAAAAAUAAUAAUCCUAACUCAAUUUAUGGCAGAAAAACUAAUCUGACUAAAACUAAUAUGAAACUAUUUUUUAUAAACACAAACAUGGCCUAACCUAUUUUCUAUAGAAACUUUAGGAAAUGUGCAAACUAGGAAAAAAAGAAUCAACUAAAAAUAUUAAAUAACCUAGGAGAAACAGAUUUUACAAGAUUGGAACUUUUCUGUUUUUAAAACAGAACGUAAAUAACAGGAAAAAAAACUAACGGGCGCUAUUGGGCUCGGGUUGUUGCGAUCUGAAACUAAACAGUGCCCGGCCGUUAACUAACAUACGCAUACAGUGUAUAACUAAAAGAAACCGGUGAAACGGUUUAGAUCUAAACCUAAAAAACCCGUACACUGAAACCAAUCUAAAAAAACGAGUUACUAAACCGAUCUAAUCUACAUAACGGUUCGAUCUAAAAGAAGAAGAAAAUGAAAAGGAGAGGAGCCCUCGCUUACAGAGGGAAACGUCCGUGGCAGAGAAGAAGGGGCCGGUGGGCUGCGGGGCUCCGGUCGUCGGCGGCGUAGGCGAGGAUGUCCAGGCAAUGCGGAAGGUAAAGGGCGUCCGAUUUUCUGUGGAUGGUGAGGCGAGGGGACGUCAUGGUCGGAUACUCACCGAUGGCGAGUUUCGAUGGUGAACAGGUGGCGGCGGAGCGAGAUCGGUUCGGCGUGGGCGUGGGUUGUAGUGCGUUUGAGCAAGGGUUUUCGAAGGGGAUCGCGAGAGGACGGGUAGGGGUACUGAUAGGACGUGUUACUUGGGCGAGGGGAAGAAUUUUAGCUAGGGUUUGGCAAGGGCGCGGACGCAGCCGUGCGCGAGGUGACGAGCGAGAUACGCGGUACAGGUUGUUCGGGAGGAAGGAGAUAACGCGGUGGGGGUUCAGUGGUCAGAGGAAAAAAA